rnacentral:rRNA from 1 species
UCUGGGAAACUGCCUGAUGGAGGGGGAUAACUACUGGAAACGGUGGCUAAUACCGCAUAACGUCGCAAGACCAAAGAGGGGGACCUUCGGGCCUCUUGCCAUCAGAUGUGCCCAGAUGGGAUUAGCUAGUUGGUGAGGUAACGGCUCACCAAGGCGACGAUCCCUAGCUGGUCUGAGAGGAUGACCAGCCACACUGGAACUGAGACACGGUCCAGACUCCUACGGGAGGCAGCAGUGGGGAAUAUUGCACAAUGGG